rnacentral:rRNA from 1 species
CCUACGGGCGGCAGCAGUGGGGAAUAUUGGACAAUGGGGGGAACCCUGAUCCAGCGACGCCGCGUGAGUGAAGAAGUAUUUCGGUAUGUAAAGCUCUAUCAGCAGGGAAGAAAGAAACGACGGUACCUGACUAAGAAGCCCCGGCUAACUACGGGCCAGCAGCCGCGGUAAAACGUAGGGGGCAAGCGUUAUCCGGAUAUACUGGGUGUAAAGGGGUCGUAGACGGGGAGGCAAGUCUGAAGUGAAAGGCGGGGGCCCAACCCCCGGACUGCUUUGGAAACUGGAUGGCUGGAGUGCAGGAGAGGUAAGUGGAAUUCCUAGUGUAGCGGUGAAAUGCGUAGAUAUUAGGAGGAACACCAGUGGCGAAGGCGGCUUACUGGACUUUAACUGACGUUGAGGCUCGAAAGCGUGGGGAGCAAACAGGAUUAGAUACCCCUGUAGUC